rnacentral:rRNA from 1 species
CACGUAGGGCGCAAGCGUUGUCCGGAAUUAUUGGGCGUAAAGAGCUCGUAGGCGGUCUGUUGCGUCCGCUGUGAAAACUCGGGGCUUAACCCCGAGCCUGCAGUGGAUACGGGCAGACUAGAGGUAGGUAGGGGAGAAUGGAAUUCCCGGUGUAGCGGUGAAAUGCGCAGAUAUCUGGAGGAAUACCGGUGGCGAAGGCGGCAAGUCCUGGACCGACAUUGACGCUGAGGAGCGAAAAGCUAGGGGAGCAAACGGGG